CCCCGGCGCGGGGCCCCCGCCCCGCUCCGGUCCAUGUGCCGCCGCCGGCGGGGUGGGUGCCGGGCAGCGGGGCCGCGCCGGGCCGGGCCGGGGGAGUGCGUUUCCUGGCGGAGCGAUAUUUGUUUACAGGAUGGGCGCCGUACUGUAAGUGAAGUAGGACCGAGCCCGGGGCAGCUUCGUAAUAAAUUAAUAUCGCGAUUUGCUCCCGCCUCGCAGACACCGCCACGAGCCCCGCGCCCGCCCCCCCUCGCCCGCCUGCACUUGUUGCAGACUUCGCGCCAGAUGGAAUUUCAUGUCUUGCUGUAUUUUGAAUAG
rnacentral:lncRNA from 1 species